ACGCACACUACAUCUCUGAUAUACUCAAACGCCACUCAUCACAAAAAGCUUCUAUAUUCUCUCUUCCAAAAUGCCUUCAUCGAUCAGUUCGCCGGAGAUAACGAGGAGGACAAACCACCAUCGGCGGCACCGGUGAAUAGAGAACUAACAUGCUACCAAGACUGUAUUAAAAGAGCAAAAAGGAAAUCUUGGAUCUUCUUUAGAUGCUACUGAUGAGAGGAUACAACAGAAAAUGGAGGAAAUGGAAGAGACGAUGCAACAAAGAACGCAGAAAAAGUUCACCGAACAAAAGGAUGCUAUGGAAUAAAAUAUUAUAAUGAACGUCGUUGCACGACUUCAGCGUCUGAACCCAAAUUUUCGGCUUGAUCCUGACAUAUUAAGGUUCAGUGCACGUCCACCUGUAAAAGCUUCCUCUGCAGAACAAGCUGCUGUUCAACUAAACAGUCGACCAUAUGCUGGUAGUAACAAUUAAGGUGGAGUAGAUCAAGAAAAGAAUGAUGAAGGCAGUGAAGAACUAGAUCUUACUUGAGAUGAAUUUUGAAUUGUCAUAGAUGAAUGUUCUAGGAAUCUUUUGUUAUCAAUAUAUUUGAAACUUACUCUUUUGAAAUGUACUAAACUUAUGCACUUUGGGUAGAACAUUUGCUUGAUGGAUAAUUUUAUAUUAUUGUAUAGUUUCAUUUUAUGAUGUA